CCUACGGUGGCUGCAGUGGGGAAUAUUGGACAAUGGGGGGAACCCUGAUCCAGCCAUGCCGCGUGUGUGAAGAAGGCCCUCGGGUUGUAAAGCACUUUCAGUGAGGAAGAACGCCUGGUGGUUAAUACCCAUCAGGAAAGACAUCACUCACAGAAGAAGCACCGGCUAACUCCGUGCCAGCAGCCGCGGUAAUACGGAGGGUGCGAGCGUUAAUCGGAAUUACUGGGCGUAAAGCGCGCGUAGGUGGCUUGAUAAGCCGGUUGUGAAAGCCCCGGGCUCAACCUGGGAACGGCAUCCGGAACUGUCAAGCUAGAGUGCAGGAGAGGAAGGUAGAAUUCCCGGUGUAGCGGUGAAAUGCGUAGAGAUCGGGAGGAAUACCAGUGGCGAAGGCGGCCUUCUGGACUGACACUGACACUGAGGUGCGAAAGCGUGGGUAGCAAACAGGAUUAGAUACCCGAGUAGUC
rnacentral:rRNA from 1 species